rnacentral:rRNA from 1 species
CCUACGGGUGGCAGCAGUGGGGAAUAUUGCACAAUGGGGGAAACCCUGAUGCAGCGACGCCGCGUGAGUGAAGAAGUAUUUCGGUACGUAAAGCUCUAUCAGCAGGGAAGAAAAUGACGGUACCUGACUAAGAAGCCCCGGCUAACUACGUGCCAGCAGCCGCGGGAAUACGUAGGGGGCCAGCGUUAUCCGGAUUUACUGGGGGUAAAGGGAGCGUAGACGGCAGCGGAAGUCUGAAGUGAAAUCCCAUGGCUUAACCAUGGAACUGCUUUGGAAACUGUGCAGCUGGAGUGCAGGAGAGGUAAGCGGAAUUCCUGGUGUAGCGGUGAAAUGCGUAGAUAUUAGGGAGAACACCAGUGGCGAAGGCGGCAUACUGGAGCGUAACUGACGUUGAGGCUCGAAAGCGUGGGGAGCAAACAGGAUUAGAUACCCUUGUAGUC